rnacentral:lncRNA from 1 species
GCUCAAGGCCUUUUUGUGCCCCCCCCUCCCCAUUUUCUGAGCCCCAAGGCCCAGGGGGCCACCAGCAGCUGCCGCCAGCACCACGCAGCCUUAACCCCUCUGCUACAGCCUCAGGGACUGCUUCAGCCUCCCUGCCUCCACCUCACCUCCAAGAAGCCACAGUACGACCCCAAAAGGCCUCUUUGUUCUGGGGGGCUUCCCCCAAGCCCACCUCAGCAGCUGGAAGAGGAGACCCAGCACAACCCCAAGCAGCCUCCAAGGCCCAAAACCCUGCACAAGAGAACCCAAAAAAACCCCACAGAGGGCAGAAAGCUGCCCCCUAACCCCCUAGAGAAGAAGCCACUCACCCUUCAACCCUCUCUCUUGCCCACCUCACCCUCAUCUGCCUCUUUUAUUGCCCCCGAGGGGCCGCAUCCUGCCCUGCUCUGCCCCACCAUUGGCUCUCCCGGGGCAGCCUCCUCGUCAGCUCCAGCUGCUGCUUGGAGAGGCAAUCUGGGGGCACCUGGGGGAGCAGCCUUCUCUCCUGAGCCCUCCUCCUGCCCCAGCCACCCCACUCGCACCCCAGCACCUCCUCCGUGCACUUGCACGUCGCCCGGUUUGGCGUUAUUCGGGGGAGCAGCCUGGGGGUGCCUCUUUUUUGGCCGGGCUGUGGCAGGAGGCAGCAGGGAGAGACACCCAGCAGGGACCCGUGCUCUGCACAAAUCCUUUAAAUUUCAGCCGGGGCUGCUGGGCAGCUCUUCUGAUGCCAUGUUACAUGUCCAUCUGUCCGUCCAUCCCCAGCAGCUUCAGCCGAGAGCUGAUUUUCACCCGCAGCGCCCUGGCACCAGGUACACGAGGAUGCUGGGGCUGCUGGCACAGCUCAUCCUGCCCGGGACCACAGCAUCAAAUAACCGCUCGCAGCAGGGCUUGGUGCGGCACUUGGGCAGCUCUGGGGACUCCGAAGAGUCUCUGGGGACCCACCCUGGCUUUGCCAGCCCUCCAAAACGUCACCCUUUUUGGCAAAGCCCUGUAAAAACCCACACAGGCAGGGGCACAGUGCGGGGAGCACGGCCUGGAAUGACCAGAGAGGCUGGGGCAGGAGGAAGGGCAGCUUUUGCCAAAUGGGGGAAAAGCAGCUAUUAA